rnacentral:rRNA from 1 species
AUUGAACGCUGGCGGCAUGCCUUACACAUGCAAGUCGAACGGCAGCACAGGUGCUUGCACCUGGUGGCGAGUGGCGAACGGGUGAGUAAUAUAUCGGAACGUACCCGGAAAUGGGGGAUAACGUAGCGAAAGUUACGCUAAUACCGCAUAUGCCCUGAGGGGGAAAGCGGGGGAUUCGCAAGAACCUCGCGUUUUCGGAGCGGCCGAUAUCGGAUUAGCUAGUAGGUGAGGUAAAGGCUCACCUAGGCGACGAUCCGUAGCUGGUCUGAGAGGACGACCAGCCACACUGGAACUGAGACACGGUCCAGACUCCUACGGGAGGCAGCAGUGGGGAAUUUUGGACAAUGGGCGAAAGCCUGAUCCAGCCAUGCCGCGUGAGUGAAGAAGGCCUCGGUUGUAAGACUCUUCUAGUCCGGAAGAAAACGACGACAAAUAAUAACCUACGUGUGGAGUGACGGUACCGGAACGAAGAAGACACCGGCGUAACUACGUAGCCAGCAGCCGCGG